UAGGGAAUAUUGCACAAUGGGCGAAAGCCUGAUGCAGCAACGCCGCGUGCGCGACGAAGGCCUUCGGGUCGUAAAGCGCUUUUCGGGGAGACGAGGAAGGACGGUAUCCCCGGAAUAAGGCUCGGCUAACUACGUGCCAGCAGCCGCGGUAAAACGUAGGAGCCAAGCGUUAUCCGAAUUCACUGGGCGUAAAGCGCGUGCAGGCGGUCUGAUAAGUUGGAUGUGAAAGCUCCUGGCUCAACUGGGAGAGGACGUUCAAUACUGUCCGACUAGAGGGCAGCAGAGGGAGGUGGAAUUCCCGGUGUAGUGGUGAAAUGCGUAGAUAUCGGGAGGAACACCAGUGGCGAAGGCGGCCUCCUGGGCUGUACCUGACGCUCAGAUGCGAAAGCUAGGGGAGCGAACGGGAUUAGAAACCCCGGUAGUCCUAUCUGUAAACGAUGUAGACUGGGUGUUGGUGGGUUAAAAGCCAUCGGUGCCGAAGCGAACGCGAUAAGUCUACCGCCUGGGGACUACGGCCGCAAGGUUA
rnacentral:rRNA from 1 species